CANGNAGNGCGGGGUGCCUAAUACAUGCAAGUCGAGCGGACAGAAGGGAGCUUGCUCCCGGAUGUUAGCGGCGGACGGGUGAGUAACACGUGGGUAACCUGCCUGUAAGACUGGGAUAACUCCGGGAAACCGGAGCUAAUACCGGAUAGUUCCUUGAACCGCAUGGUUCAAGGAUGAAAGACGGUUUCGGCUGUCACUUACAGAUGGACCCGCGGCGCAUUAGCUAGUUGGUGGGGUAAUGGCUCACCAAGGCGACGAUGCGUAGCCGACCUGAGAGGGUGAUCGGCCACACUGGGACUGAGACACGGCCCAGACUCCUACGGGAGGCAGCAGUAGGGAAUCUUCCGCAAUGGACGAAAGUCUGACGGAGCAACGCCGCGUGAGUGAUGAAGGUUUUCGGAUCGUAAAGCUCUGUUGUUAGGGAAGAACAAGUGCGAGAGUAACUGCUCGCACCUUGACGGUACCUAACCAGAAAGCCUCGGCUAACUACUUGCCANCAGCCGCGGUAAUACGUAGGUGGCAAGCGUUGUCCGGAAUUAUUGGGUGUAAAGGGCUCGCUGG
rnacentral:rRNA from 1 species